rnacentral:rRNA from 1 species
GACGAACGCUGGCGGCGUGCUUAACACAUGCAAGUCGAACGCUGAAGCUCAGCUUUUGUUGGGUGGAUGAGUGGCGAACGGGUGAGUAACACGUGAGUAACCUGCCCCCUUCUUUGGGAUAACGCCCGGAAACGGGUGCUAAUACUGGAUAUUCACUGGUCUUCGCAUGGGGGUUGGUGGAAAGGGUUUUUCUGGUGGGGGAUGGGCUCGCGGCCUAUCAGCUUGUUGGUGGGGUGAUGGCCUACCAAGGCUUUGACGGGUAGCCGGCCUGAGAGGGUGACCGGUCACAUUGGAACUGAGAUACGGCCCAGACUCCUACAGGAGGCAGCAGUGGGGAAUAUUGAACAAUGGGCGCAAGCCUGAUGCAGCGACGCCGCGUGAGGGAUGGAGGCCUUCGGGUUGUGAACCUCUUUCGCUCAUGGUCAAGCCGCAACAAUGGUUGUGGUGAGGGUAGUGGGUAAAGAAGCGCCGGCCAACUACGUG